GACGAACCGUGCGAACGUUGUUCGGAAUCACUGGGCUUAAAGGGCGCGUAGGCGGGCGAGCGAGUCCGGGGUGAAAGCUUUCGGCUUAACCGGAAAAGGGCCUCGGAUACCGGUCGCCUGGAGGAAGGUAGGGGUCCGCGGAACUGCUGGUGGAGCGGUGAAAUGCGUUGAUAUCAGCAGGAACGCCGGUGGCGAAAGCGGCGGACUGGACCUUUUCUGACGCUGAGGCGCGAAAGCCAGGGGAGCGAAACGGGG
rnacentral:rRNA from 1 species